rnacentral:rRNA from 1 species
UACGUAGGUGGCAAGCGUUGUCCGGAUUUACUGGGCGUAAAGAGCUCGCAGGCGGUCAGAUAAGUCGAAUGUGAAAGCCCCCGGCUCAACUGGGGAGGGUCAUUCGAUACUGUUCGACUCGAAGGCAGGAGAGGGAAGUGGAAUUCCCGGUGUAGUGGUGAAAUGCGUAGAUAUCGGGAGGAACACCAGUGGCGAAGGCGACUUCCUGGCCUGUUCUUGACGCUGAGGCGCGAAAGCUAGGGGAGCAAACGGG